rnacentral:lncRNA from 1 species
UUGGGAUUUGGGCCCAGGAAUUCCCAUCAGGAAUGAAACACUUUCCACCUGCUGCCACCUAAAGCGCCUAACUCCGUCAUGGAAUUUGCGUGCAGACAGUUAGAUCGGACUUUGGAAACAGAGGAUGAAUAAUGAGUUUCCUUCUUUCUGUUCACAGAGGCCAGCCAAGAGCCAGAGCUGGAGCCAGGCCUCUGGUCGUAAACUAAACAACAGAACCAGUUAUUGGUUUCAAGUCUGACUGCCUCCUCUUGUAAGGACUUUGGAACUUGGAGAAGCUCCCUUACCCUUUAUAAGCCAGCAGAAAGAAGUAUGAUUGUCAAGACCCCAGACAGAAUGGCAGCCAACAAUCUAAGUGUCUUUCGAUGGAUGAAUGGAUAAAGAAAAUGUGGUAUAGCUAUACAAAAUGGAAUAUUAUUCAGCCACGAGAAAGAAAGAAAUCCUUCCAUUUGUGACAACGUGGAUGAGCCUGGAGGACAUUAUGCUGAGUGAAAUAAGCCAGACACAGAAAGACAAAUAUGUAUGAUCUCACUUGUAAAAGAAACAGCUGCUGUUAUCCAGAGUAAAUCAGUCACAAAGAAACCUGCUCCUCAUUCUGUCUCCUGGUUUCCCAUAAAUGCCUGAAGCCCAGCCUUGGAGAGGCUUUCCUAUAGAGAUAGAGCUUAUCAACUGGUGAUCUUCACUGUAAGAUGAUUGAGUGAGAACCUGGCUAAUUCAUUGGGGACCCCAAAAUGACAUUAUCUAUGGGUCUUUUCUUUGAGAGCAGUUCCAGUCUCCUCAGAGAUGAAUUCUCCAGUUUCUUGCCUGGAAAAUAUAUACCUGACUGCUGGUGUUCUUGGAACCAAUGUUUUUGGAGUGUAGGAAAAGGGACCUUAUUGUAGACUUUCAUUUAGUGCCCCUAUUUUCAAUAGAAUGCCCAUUCCCUAUUUUUAACUCUAUCUGGGGCAUCUGGGUCUGGGGCUUCUGUGGAUCAAUUUAGUUUGAAUAAACUUCCAAUCUCCUGCCAGAGUAGGGAAAAGGUAUUUUCCUGGCUGAGCAGGUUGAGGGAGGAGAACUAAGAGUGGUCUAGCUGCUUUUCUCGCACACAUGCAACCAAAUCCUCUGCUUUUGGCCUCUUGACACACCCCUGCUUUCUUUGGUCACUGGUGUCUCUAAUUUCUGAGCUUCCCAGGCAUUCCACAGCAUGAAUUGUCUUGCUUCUCAUUUUGCAGCCCCCACUCUGCAGACAUUUGCUCUUCAGUCCCUUCAGCUCUGCUAACCUGCAUCUACUUUCUAUCUUCCAAAAACGUCUUGGCAUAUCUAGUCUUCUGCUGCCUUCAUUACCGUUCUCUCUGUCUUUGUGGGAUUUUACCCCUUAAAAAACUAAUUUCUCUUCAUUUUAGCAUAGUUUUAGAAGAGAUAAUAGAUAAACAUGUAUUUAAUGUCAUAUUUAAUUGGAAGUCCUCCAAUUGUAUUUAUUAAAAUGAAAAAUUCACAUGCUCCUUGACUUGGAAAUCUCACUUAUGAUAAUUUAACUGUCAGAAAUAAAAGUGCCAGUAUUGUAUAGGUAAGUUUACAAGAGUGUUUACUGCAAUAGUAAUAGCAACAAUCAGAGUGUCCGCUGAUAAGGAACAGUUAUGUAAAUUAUGGUGUAUUUAUACUAUGGACUACUCUCCAAUCAUUAAAAGGAAUAAGGCAUAUUGACUUGGAAAGCCAUCCAUGAUAUAUUGCUGAGUAAAAGAGAAGGCUAUAGUAACCCCAUGUUUGUGAAAGAAAGUGAACUAGUAUUAUAUGUUUAUAUGUUUGUAUACAUAAAGAAUAAAGUGUGUAAGGAGUCAUACUAGAUUUUUAACAGUGAUUACAUUGGGGGAUGGCUUUGGAUGGGGAGUGGAAGAAUAUAUCAAUUUAACUUUAGAAACUUUUUUAUUGUCUUUGAAGUGUUUCAGUUAACCUGUGUUGCUUUUGUUAUUCAAACGCCAAAAUAAACAUGCUUAAAAAAAGUUGUAGAUGCAAGAAUGUUCACUGCAGCAUUAUUUAUGAUGGUGAAAAAUUGGAAAAUAAUAUAAAUGUCUGACAAUAAAGACUGGUUAAUACAUUUGAAAUAUCUAUAUGGCAGAAUAUUAGGAGCCUAUUAUAAUGAUCUUUUAGACAAAUUUUAAUGUUGUGGUAAAAUGGUCAUGAAUAAUGCAAGGUGAGAAAAGUAGAAUACGAAAUCGUAUAUACUUUGUAAUUCCAAUGUUGUAAUUAAAAUGUAAUGC